CUGCUAUUAAUUGAUGAUUAAGUGAUAUACGUGUUUAUUCAUGAUAUUAUAUACAUGUGAUAAAAGAUUUGGAUGACAUAGUGUCGUGAGUUGAUUGAUAUUGAAUAAGAAGAUAUGGAUUAUAAUGAUGGGAUUUGGUUGGUUGAUGGUUGAUUGAGAUAGGAUAACAGGUGGAUAGUCUAAUAAAUAGACGAGAUGAUGUCGGAUUUUCGAUAGGAUUCAUAUGAUAAGUGAUUGGUAAUAUGUUAUGUGGAAUACGACUUGACUAUAUGGUAGAGUCCAAGCAUGAUUACGUGUUAAGUGAUAUGUGAUAAGUUUAAAGGGGGUAUAUAAGUGGGUAUCGGUAUACGUGAUAUGUAUAUGCGAUAUAUUGUUUAGUGACUAUAGUAUUAUCUUAUUCUUGUAAAGGACUUAGACGAGACGUGUACGCUCGAAGACAUCAGGAAGUCGAAAUGGUAUUGCAAAGCGAAUAAGGGAUGAAUCGAGUAAGCGAAGCGAAGAUGUACGGUAGAUAGAGUAUAGCCAGAGAUGGUCUAGAGACUAUGAGAGGCAUAGAUUGUGAAAGUGGAAAGAUGAGAUUGAGAUGUGAGACUGGAGUCAGAUUUAAGAAAGGCUUAAAGAUGAGAUGAUUGAUUGAGAUUAUGAGUAAGGCUAAUGCUAGGCGAGGAGACAGAGUUGAGGAUCCAGUGGUCGAGGAGUGUUCAGAAAAGUUGAUGAGGUUGGUGCAAGCUGGAACAGUUGACAGUGAUUCUUCUUAUCGAAGAUGAUCUGAUUUGGUAAGAGGUGUUGUGUAAUAAUAGUGGUAGAUUCUAAUUUCAAUACUGUAACCUGGAUGCGAUCCUGUUGCUUUUAGGGGGUUUAAAUGUUCUCUUUCGAAUCAUUUAUUAAAGUUUAAAUGUUCUCUUGAAA